GCCGGCGUCGUUUAACCGCGCAGGACGGCUGGUGAAGGCGCGAGCCGAAGGACCAGGAAGUGGAGGUUCAAAUCCUCUCGCUGGCACCA
rnacentral:tRNA from 1 species